rnacentral:rRNA from 1 species
GAUGAACGCUGGCGGCGUGCCUAAUACAUGCAAGUCGAGCGAACAGAUGAGGAGCUUGCUUCUCUGACGUUAGCGGCGGACGGGUGAGUAACACGUGGAUAACCUACCUAUAAGACUGGGAUAACUUCGGGAAACCGUAGCUAAUACCGGAUAAUAUUUUGAACCGCAUGGUUCAAUAGUGAAAGACGGUUUUGCUGUCACUUAUAGAUGGAUCCGCGCUGCAUUAGCUAGUUGGUAAGGUAACGGCUUACCAAGGCAACGAUGCGUAGCCGACCUGAGAGGGUGAUCGGCCAAACUGGAACUGAGACACGGUCCAGAAUCCUAAGGGAGGCAGCAGUAGGGAAAUUUUCGGAAUGGGCGAAAGCCUGACGGAGCAAAGGCGCGUGGGUGAAGAAGGGCUUCGGAUCGUAAAAAUCUGUUAUUAGGGAAGAAAAAAUGUGUAAGGAAAUAUGCAAGAUUUGACGGUAACUAAUCAGAAAGGCACGGCUAACUACGUG